GUAAUUGAAAAUUGAAGCCCCAAAAAGGAAAAAGGUUGUGUUGAGAAUGUGAGAUGGAAAUAAAAAGAGAAGAGGCGAGAGGGAAGACAAUGGCGACAGUUUUGUUUGGUGAGACAACAACGUCUUGAGAGAGAGACGUAUGUGCUGACAAGCUCCGCCGAAAGAUAAGCCCUUCUCCUCUUUCUUUUCAAAUAAACAUUAUUCAACUUCAACAUAAUUGCGUUAUCUUCUUGGCGUUUUUCAGCAGCAAAUCGAUUCAUUAGUUUUAAAUUACAUACAGCGUUUGGAUUUGAUUCUCAAUGGGUUUUUUCUGAUUUUUUUUAAAAGGAAGAUGAGUGGGCAAAGCGAAUGGUCCAAAACGCACGCCAAGUGUUUGUGAAAAUGUUUGCGUCAUUUAGACACGCCAAUGGCAUCGGUUGGGCGGGCAGGGGGAAAGAGGCGUACUGCCAGCGCCGCCCAUGGGCAGAUUAUUCAUCAUGCCUGACUCACCUCCACAUGAUAAGCGAAGGCAGGUUAGCUUUUCCCCGACUACUUUUGCUUGCUGUGUUACAUGGAGCAUAUAUUAGCAUAACUGGCAGAAAGCAAUAUCCUCACUAGACUCAGCUUGAGCCUUGACUAAACUGCUCGGAUAACUAAAUCAAAGAUUUCUCUAUGAUUUGAUGUAUCAAUAUCUAUGUCGCGUUACCCAUCAAAUCUAAGAUGCACUGUUUUGUUUUAAGCUGGUUGGAGCCACAUUUACAGAAGACGGCAGGGCAAAUAUGGCACCUUCACCUUGAAGGGAACAAGUGAAGGUGAGUUCAAGGAUUCUACUGCUAGGCCAACAGUAAAUGCUAGGAGUAAACUAAUGCGAGGAUAUUG